AUGGAUGCCUGGUUGUGUGCGACGGAUGCAGUUCUCACGCGCAAGCUAGGGUUGGAGCCGCCAGCUCUUCAUCCUGCCCGCCGGCGGCGAGUCUUCCCGUCCCGUACUGCCGCCUCCCCGUUAUCACAGGAAGGUUAUCCUUUCUUCAAGGACUGGAAGUUUCCUGGUAAGUGUUCCUUUUUCUUAAAAACUCUGUGUUUGUUUGCUGUAAUAUUUUGUUUACAUCAGGUUUCUCUUUCCUUUUGUGGGCAUAAUGGGCGAGACAAUAAUAUUCAGAAAGUUGUUGUUUUAGGGAAACUGCUAACUCCAUAUGUCAGACCCAUAUCAUUGUUGAGCAUGCAUAGUGUUCCUAUGUCAUUUCUAUGAUGUAUUUGUUUCCUUUUAUAUCACAGUAGUCUUCAUUUUGGCCAUGUACCUUCAAACUGAACCAAAAAUAGUUUGUCUGAUGACAUGUUUGAGGAGAUUCUUGAUAUGAAACAGUAGAUAUGAGGGUGACCGUUUUUUUUGCAAGUUUUGUCCGUGGAAUCUUUUUGCAGUUGAUAAGACAUGGGCUGGACUUACUUCCGAUCUGCAAUAUUUUCGGUAAAGUGAUUCAAGGAAACAAACAUCCACUGUGUCAAUCACUCAAGAUGGUGCAUGCAGUUUUCCUGAAAGUUAAGUCUGAGAGCCUGCUCCUACAUAAAGCUGGGUGACGGGACGACGGCCAAUUUCUGGGAGGACAAAUGGUUGCCGGGUGGGCGUUCCGUCUAAGACCUGGCGCCAACACUGCUCACUUUUGUGCCCAAGAGCACAACUAGUCAUCUAUGGUUUGGAUGGGGCUGGGUUCCUACAACGACGGCAACAGAGGCGACAAACACCACUUUGCAACCUCGCCGAACUGUGUUGCUGAACUGAAGUUUAGGGACAGCAGCAGUUUUACCACCGAUGGUGUUGCAUGUAAGCUGGAUGUUCUCAUUGUUCUGUUGGCUCUGAUCGGGAUGUGAGGUACAACUAUCAAAGUGACAUUAAUUUUGGUUCUGAUUCCUAUCCGCAGCCUCUUCUACACUAGAGAAGGAAAACACUCGACGAUCUGGCUCUGUCUCAGGUAUAUGCUCCCUCGCCCGCAAGAUCCGCUCUCUCCCAUCUACGCAUCGCAACAGCACUUCAGCUCCUCUUGUGGAUUCUCACCAGAUCAGGCCACCUCACUCACCUUCAGUCUGUCGUGAUGGACAAAGUUAAGAUCCCAACAAAAAGUGCUUCUUGAUGCUAUGAUGCAGCAACUUAACCUUCCAAAUUACAGUUUACUAAACAGACCUCGCCGGCAGAUCCCUCAGCUAUCAGGGAAGGCAGCCAUCAGCGGAGAUUGAGGGCGCCUCUCCGGCGAGAGUGCUCAUGUCGUGGUGGUUUUCCACCAGCAGCGUGGGGGAGGCGGUGUCCUCUGCAGCUAGGUCUACUUACUGGCGACCUCACCAUCACCAGCCCACCUGCAGGUAUGCUAGCUCCUCUUCUAUUAAUGGAAAAAGGAGAUGCUCAAAUGGAUUGGGUGGUACCUUCCUGAAAGUAUUGUAGGGAUGGACAUAUGGAUUGAUUGGUAGGCCCCUGAAAGCUACACAGAUCUGAACCGAUAACUUCAAUAAGAAUGUGUAUCCCAGCUCCUUUUAUAAUCUUGAAUCCUUCUUGGUCCUACUAAACUGUAACUCAUGUUUCGUAUUGGAAACAAUAUUUUGGACAUUCCUAACCUGGCCAAGGGAAUGUAUUGCCCACCUACAGUGAGAGAUACAUACGAAAUAGGUCCUACUAAACACCUAAAAGGAUGAGUCAUACUGUACUAACAUUUUUGCUAUCUUUAUGCUCCAUAUGGAUGGGAACUAAAAGGAUGAUGAUAUUAUUCUACCUUUCAAUAUUUGGCGGCGCAUGUUUAAGAAAAUCAUAGUGACUAAUAAGCAUGUCAUUUUCUAGAAGGGGCUUGACUGGAAUGUAUUUAUAUAGUUAAUAAAAUCAUAGUGACUAAUUCUUCAGUUCCUCUAUUUAGAUUAGAGGUGUAUGCAUGCAUAUUAGCCAAGUGAUCAGUCUUUCCAGGUCAAAAGAGAAAGUGACCAAUAUUUUGGCAUAUUUUCCUAUUAAGAAUAAAUGGAUAUGCCCAUGCACGUAUGCACAC
rnacentral:rRNA from 1 species